AUUGAACGCUGGCGGCAGGCCUAACACAUGCAAGUCGAGCGGCAGCGCGGGGGCAACCUGGCGGCGAGCGGCGGACGGGUGAGUAACGCGUAGGAAUCUACCCAGUAGCGGGGGAUAGCCCGGGGAAACUCGGAUUAAUACCGCAUACGCCCUAAGGGGGAAAGCAGGGGAUCUUCGGACCUUGCACUAUUGGCAGAGCCUGCGUUGGAUUAGCUAGUUGGUAGGGUAAAGGCCUACCAAGGCGACGAUCCAUAACUGGUCUGAGAGGAUGAUCAGUCACACCGGAACUGAGACACGGUCCGGACUCCUACGGGAGGCAGCAGUGGGGAAUAUUGGACAAUGGGGGCAACCCUGAUCCAGCCAUGCCGCGUGUGUGAAGAAGGCCUCGGU
rnacentral:rRNA from 1 species